GUGCUUGCUUCAGCAGCACAUAAAGUAAAAUUGGAAUGAUAUAGAGAUUAACCUGGCCCCUGUGCAAGGAUGAUAAACAAAUUUGUGAUACAUUCCAUAUUUGA
ensembl:snRNA U6 U6 spliceosomal RNA